rnacentral:tRNA from 1 species
ACCAGGAUGGCCGAGUGGUUAAGGCAUUGGACUUAAUAGCCAAUAGAUCAAAAUUCAAGUGGGAAAAGUUUUACCUUUGGGUGUUUUCUGUUUCUGUAAGAUCCAAUGGAUGUAAAUCCACGUGGGUUCGAACCCCACUCCUGGUA